rnacentral:tRNA from 1 species
AAGGCAUUAGUAAAAAUAUUACACUACUUUGUCAGGGCAGUAAUGCGGGUUAAAAUCCCGCAUGCCUUA